AUGGUUUUCGAAGACGAAAGCAGUAAGGACACGUCCAGCCUGCCGUACAUGCACUCGACCUCAUCCACGGACGGGCUUAACCAGGUCCCUUUCAGCGUUGAAGAUCCAGAUUACCAGGGGCUUGAGCUGGAAACGAUGUCGCCAUGUGAGAAGCACGGCAAGGCAUCUGAGAGGCUUGUCGCAUUUGAAGGAACAGACACAGGGAGAAGGUUCCUAGAAGGGCAGAAUUGUGGGUUUGUUGAAUGGGUUGAUCACCAGUGGCCCCCAACAAUGCAAAAUGCAUUGUUGAAGCUGUGGGCCAUGGUUGAAGAUAGCAAGAGUGCUAGGGUGAAUGAUAAUCUUGAAAGUUCUUUCACUAUCCACCAUCUGACAGAAGAGAAGAACAAGCUGGAGGCCAACUAUGACAAGUUAGUCCAAGAUGUGCAUGAACUUAUGAGCUUCCAGGAGGACAGGGUGGUGGAUUUCAGAUAUCUGCAGGAUAACCUUACAUAUCAGCAGCAAUGCAGAAGUGAACUGGUGGCUGAUAUGAAGGCACAGAUGGCAAAGAAAGAUGCAGAGUUUGAGAAGCUUAAGCAGAAUUAUGAAGUGCUACUGAACCUGACAAGAGCACAAGCAACAGUCAUCCAGAACUUGAAGUUGAAGCAUAUUAAAGACAAGCAAUUGCUUAGUGAAGAUAAGAUGAACUUGGAGUUGAAGAAUGCAGAGCUCACAAAGUCUAAGGAGAAGCUCACCCAAGAGAAGCUAGAGUUGAAGCUUCAGAUUGCUGAGCUGAUGAAGGCAGAGGAGAAGCUGAAGGAGAAGAUCAAGGGGAUCCAGGCCAUCUUAGAGAAGUGA
rnacentral:rRNA from 1 species